rnacentral:rRNA from 1 species
AGCUAGUUGGUAGGGUAACGGCCUACCAAGGCUGCGACGCGUAGCCGGACUGAGAGGUCGGUCGGCCACAUCGGGACUGAGACACUGCCCGGACUCCUACGGGGGGCUGCAGUAACGAAUCUUCCCCAAUGGGCGCAAGCCUGAGGGAGCGACGCCGCGUGGAGGAUGAAGUCCUUCGGGAUGUAAACUCCUGUCAGGGGUUAGAAAGUUCUGAUCAACCCCAGAGGAAGUGGCGACUAACUCUGUGCCAGCAGUCGCGGUAAGACAGAGGCCACAAGCGUUAGGCGGAAUCACUGGGCUUAAAGCGUGUGUAGGCGGGUCGUUAAGUGCCUUGUGAAAUCCCACGGCUCAACCGUGGAACUGCUGGGCAUACUGGCGAUCUUGAGCUCUCCAGGGGCCGCUGGAACAAACGGUGGAGCGGUGAAAUGCGUAGAUAUUGUUUGGAACGCCAAAGGUGAAAACAGGCGGCUGGGGAGAUGCUGACGCUGAGACACGAAAGCCAGGGGAGCAAACGGGAUUAGAUACCCCGGUAGUCCUGGCCCUAAACGAUGUCCACUAGACUAUGGAGGUAUGACGCCUUCGUGGCCGAAGCAAAAGUGUUAAGUGGACCGCCUGGGAAGUACGGUCGCAAGGCUAAAACUCAAAGGAAUUGACGGGGGCUCACACAAGCGGUGGAGCAUGUGGUUCAAUUCGAAGCAACGCGCAGAACCUUACCUGGGCUUGACAUACCUGGACUAUCCCUAUGAAAGUAGGGUAGGCCCUUCGGGGUACAACAGGAACAGGUGCUGCAUGGCUGUCGUCAUCUCGUGUCGUGAGAUGUCGGGUUAAGUCCCAUAACGAGCGAAACCUUUGCCCUUAGUUGCCAUCGGGUAAUGCCGGGAACUCUAAGGGGACUGCCGGUGUCAAACCGGAGGAAGGUGGAGAUGACGUCAAGUCCUCAUGGCCUUUAUGCCCAGGGCCACACACGUGCUACAAUGGGGCGGACAAAGCGACCCGAAAGCGCAAGCUUGGGGAAAACGCAGAAAACGUCCCUCAGUUCAGAUCGGAGGCUGCAACCCGCCUCCGUGAAGUUGGAAUCGCUAGUAAUCGCGGAUCAGCUACGCCGCGGUGAAUGUGUUCCUGAGCCUUGUACACACCGCCCGUCAAGUCAUGGGAGCCGGAAAUAGCCGAAGCCGCCUCGAUUCGGAGGUGUCUACGCUAGGUUCGGUGACUGGGACUAAGUCGUAACAAGGUAGCCGUAGGGGAACCUGCGGCUG